GACGAACGCUGGCGGCGUGCUUAACACAUGCAAGUCGAACGGAAAGGCUCCAGCUUGCUGGUGUACUCGAGUGGCGAACGGGUGAGUAACACGUGGGUAAUCUGCCCUGCACUCUGGGAUAAGCCUGGGAAACUGGGUCUAAUACUGGAUAUGACCUUUCUCCUUAUGGGGUUUGGUGGAAAGUUUUUCGGUGUAGGAUGAGCCCGCGGCCUAUCAGCUUGUUGGUGGGGUGAUGGCCUACCAAGGCGACGACGGGUAGCCGGCCUGAGAGGGUGAUCGGCCACAUUGGUACUGAGAGACGGCCCAGACUCCUACGGGAGGCAGCAGUGGGGAAUAUUGCACAAUGGGCGGAAGCCUGAUGCAGCGACGCCGCGUGAGGGAUGACGGCCUUCGGGUUGUAAACCUCUUUCAGCAGGGACGAAGCGUAAGUGACGGUACCUGCAGAAGAAGCACCGGCUAACUAUGUG
rnacentral:rRNA from 1 species